rnacentral:lncRNA from 1 species
AUUGAUGAUAGGAUGAUGGUUUGGGAUCUGAUCCUCCUGAGAGAGGCAGGGAUGCCGUUUUGGUGGCCUACCUAUUUGGGAUCAGCUUUUUAAGAUAAUUUUUUUCUCAAGCUCUCUUUAUCCAUGGAGACAGACAUGUGAGGAUCUGGAGGGCCUCCUCCAAUCUUAAGGUGAUAGUGAGAGACCUCUAUGAUCUAUAUAGGAGGGAGACGACCAAGAGGA